UCAGGCCUACGGGGCGCAGCAGUGGGGAAUAUUGGGCAAUGGGCGCAAGCCUGACCCAGCAACGCCGCGUGAAGGAAGAAGGCUUUCGGGUUGUAAACUUCUUUUCUCAGGGACGAAGAAAGUGACGGUACCUGAGGAAUAAGCCACGGCUAACUACGUGCCAGCAGCCGCGGUAAUACGUAGGUGGCAAGCGUUAUCCGGAUUUACUGGGUGUAAAGGGAGCGUAGACGGCUGCGCAAGUCAGAAGUGAAAGCCCGGGGCUCAACCGCGGGACUGCUUUUGAAACUGUGUAGCUAGAGUGCAGG
rnacentral:rRNA from 1 species